ensembl:lncRNA
AGGAAAACCAACCCCUUGGGAAGCUGGGCAGCUUUCAUAGCAGUUAGUGAUGCCUCUUGGCUUUUUGUGUCUUCAUGGGAAGUGUCUCUUGUGGCUCUGUCCUGUAGGAGCUGUUACAGAAGGGCUGGAACUGCAGAAAGCUGAGAUAAGAGCCCUACCCCUUCCUUGGUGCAGUGGUGAUAUGAAGGAUGAAGAGGAAUUCAAGGAGGAAGAUGAGAGCCAUGGAGUGAAAUGCUCAGUGAAUUUGGGAGCAAUCAUAACCUCAGCCACUGAGAUACCUGGCCACAUCCACAGCUCUAGCAAUAAACUGCUGACUACAAGGAAUAUUAUAAAAAUUCCUUGCUGGAUGCCAUAGACAUGUUGAUGGUUUUGCAUAUGUUGAAAACUCCCUGGCUAAUGACAUAUUUCCUCUUUGGGCUGACUCAUGAGCUGCUUCUCCUUGUUGCUAUGAAAGUUGGAGGCACUUCAAUGCUGUGUGCUGCAAGUACAUUUCAUGAAAGGAGAGGAAAAUCUCAGUAUUAUUUCUGGAUUCACAGAUUUGACCCUUUCACUUUUGCAGUCAGUGAGCUCUGCCAGUCUGACAUUUAUUAAAUAGCUUGUUAGUGGCAGAAGGAAUGGCAAUAAAAUUUGUGUGUAUAAUUUAAAGCA